rnacentral:rRNA from 1 species
GAUGAACGCUGGCGGCGUGCCUAAUACAUGCAAGUCGAGCGAACAGACGAGGAGCUUGCUCCUCUGACGUUAGCGGCGGACGGGUGAGUAACACGUGGAUAACCUACCUAUAAGACUGGGAUAACUUCGGGAAACUGGAGCUAAUACCGGAUAAUAUAUUGAACCGCAUGGUUCAAUAGUGAAAGACGGUUUUGCUGUCACUUAUAGAUGGAUCCGCGCCGCAUUAGCUAGUUGGUAAGGUAACGGCUUACCAAGGCAACGAUGCGUAGCCGACCUGAGAGGGUGAUCGGCCACACUGGAACGGAGACACGUUCCGGACUCCUACGGGAGGCAGGAGUAGGGAAUCUUCCGCAAUGGGCGAAAGCCUGACGGAGCAACGCCGCGUGAGUGAUGAAGGUCUUCGGAUCGGAAAACUCUGUUAUUAGGGAAGAACAAAUGUGUAAGUAACUAUGCACGUCUUGACGGUACCUAAUCAGAAAGCCACGGCUAACUACGUG